GCCUCGAUAGCUCAAUGGAUAGAGCAGCGCUCUUCUAAGGCGUUGAUGUGGGUUCGAUUCCUACUCGGGGCA
rnacentral:tRNA from 1 species